GUUGCCGUUAAAAGCUCGUAGUCGAACUUCGGCCCCUGCUGGCCGGUCCGCCUUCUUGGUGUGUACUUGCUCAGCGGGGGCUUACCUCCUGGUGAGCGGCGAUGCCCUUCACUGGGUGUCGUCGGGAACCAGGACAUUUACUUUGAGAAAAUUAGAGUGUUCAAAGCAGGCCUACGCCCGAAUACAUUAGCAUGGAAUAAUAAAAUAGGACGCGCGUUCCCAUUUUGUUGGUUUCUGAGAUCGCCGUAAUGAUUAAUAGGGAUAGUUGGGGGCAUUUGUAUUCCGUCGUCAGAGGUGAAAUUCUUGGAUUGCCGGAAGACAAACUACUGCGAAAGCAUUUGCCAAGGAUGUUUUCAUUGAUCAAGAACGAAGGAAGGGGGAUCGAAAACGAUUAGAUACCGUUGUAGUCUCUUCUGUAAACUAUGCCAAUUGGGGAUUGGUACAGGAUUUUUAAUGACUGUAUCAGCACCCGAAGAGAAAUCUUUAAAUGAGGUUCGGGGGGGAGUAUGGUCGCAAGGCUGAAACUUAAAGGAGUUGACGGAAGGGCACCACCAGGUGUGGAGCCUGCGGCUUAAUUUGACUCAACACGGGGAAACUCACCAGGUCCAGACACAAAAAGGAUUGACAGAUUGAUAGCUCUUUCUUGAUCUUGUGGUUGGGUGGUGCAUGGCCGUUCUUAGUUGGUGGAGUGAUUUGUCUGGUUAAUUCCGAUAACGAACGAGACCUUAACCUGCUAAAUAGACCAGCCGGCUUUGGCUGGCUGCUGUCUUCUUAGAGGACUAUCAGCGUUUAGCUGAUGGAGUUUGAGCAUAACAGUCUGUGAUGCCCUUAGAUGUCUGGGCGCACGCCGCUACACUGAC
rnacentral:rRNA from 1 species